rnacentral:tRNA from 1 species
GGAGAGAUGGCCGAGUGGUUGAGGCGUAGCAUUGAACUGCUAUGUAGCUUUUGUUUACCGAGGGUUCGAAUCCUCUCUUUCCG